UACGAAGGGGGCUAGCGUUGCUCGGAAUCACUGGGCGUAAAGCGCACGUAGGCGGAUUGCUAAGUCAGGGGUGAAAUCCUGGAGCUCAACUCCAGAACUGCCUUUGAUACUGGCGAUCUUGAGUCCGGGAGAGGUGAGUGGAACUGCGAGUGUAGAGGUGAAAUUCGUAGAUAUUCGCAAGAACACCAGUGGCGAAGGCGGCUCACUGGCCCGGUACUGACGCUGAGGUGCGAA
rnacentral:rRNA from 1 species